UCACGACAUGGAGAGGUCGUUGUUGUCGACAAUUCUCUCUGUUGUUAUUUCACAUUGGGGACGUUCAGUUUAUUGCGUUAUUGUGACUGAUUUUUCCAUCCUCUAUUUUCUUUUUGGAUUUUGGACGUUUAAUCGCUAGCCGAUUCUAUGUUUUUUUCGUAGUAACUGACUUUUGUUUUGAAAACUCGGUGUUUUGUGGCCGUGACAGUAAGCGAAGGUGAUUUUAAAUUGAAAGCUUUGGACUGGACUCUAUAAUUAUUGCAGGUUAAUUUUGUAACAUUAAUUGGUGGGCAACACAAGCUGGAAGAGCAUGAAAAGGGAAGAAACGCAUUGAAAGAUUAAAAGUUUGUGAGGAAUUGGUAAGUUUAAAAUGCAGAAAAUCUGUUAAAGUUUAAAGAAAUAAAUGUGAUACGUCAACGAUAUACGUAUAUCUAUUUAAAUCACUUGGACACUACAGGAGCCUUGUGAUAGAAGGAUUAAUGCCUAACCCAAAAAUACGAAAUACACGAAAUGAUAUUGAGCAUGAAAUUAUGUCAUUACGUGUUUACCACGCCCGUGGGAGGCUGAAAUAGGAAAUUACAAAUUAUUAAUGCUAUUAACUUAUUUUUUUUAAAAUAUACCCGCUUGUAUAGUUUUUCUACCAUCCCUUUAAUAAUCUAUAAAUAUCCGAUAAACGUAAAUAUUGUUGUGCCAUAUACAUCCACUGAAUAGCCAAUACGUCCCCUGUACGUUUUUUAGUACUAAGUACCUUUAGUUCAAAGUAUGUCUAUGUGAUCAACUUGGGAUAAUCCCAUUUGUGACCCCUACUGUUCCAAAAGCACGUCUCUGGGACUUCCCAUACACUUCGUAACAUGUAACGGGCCGUCCCUGGGAUUUAUUCUAUGUACCAUUUUUGAAUCACUGGGACGUUCAAGUCGGUUUGACUUACGCUAUCUGGGAGGGUGGUAUGAAAUCCGCGACGUCCCAGAAGAUGUAACUUGGAGAAACUGGCAAUCAGAAAACUAUAUACUGGUCCAACAGGAGUAACAGAACUUAUACAUGAUAAGUUUAUUUGAAUUUACAGAAUUGACAAAAGCUUCAAUCAAGAUUUGGUUUAUAUCCAAGAUUCAAGAACUCUGAGAAUGUGGUAGACACCUGGCAACGCGUCUCGCUUGCAAACCAUUCAAGAAGUUGACAGCUAUCAAGGCAGAACUCUGAUGGUUUUGGCUGGAGUUUCGAUUAAUCUAGUUCCCGUUAAAGAAUUUUUAAUAAAACAAACGAAUAUCGGGAUCAAAUUUCAAAAUGUUGUUCCAUGGUUCAUCUACGCACUAGAGAAUUAGGUCAAAAUUGUAUACUUUGCACGACUAAAUUAGUUCAGACCCCUUCAUAAAAAUUUCUAGUUUUUUCCAUGUGGGGUUUGAGCUUUUGUCUAAUUCAUUUGUUUCUUCUUCUUUUUGGUAUUGUUGGAGUUUGGUCGUUUCGAUUUAUUAAUCAUCCUUAGGACACUAAACCUUAUGACAUUACAAAUGUUCUAUAGAUUCAGAGAGGUUAAUCAUUGCUUCUUUGAAUACGCAAAAUUUAUUUGGUGUUAUUUUAAAUAUAAAAUAUUAUUUUACGAUUCCUCAUUAGUCAUUUUAACAAGAAAACUGCAUGUUUAGGGUUCCGAGGAUAAUUAAGUGGUAAAUCGAGAAGUCGACACAUAUUCCAUAAUUUUGACACUCAAUAUUUUCUAUAUAAUUUGUUGAAUAACUCUUGAAAUGUAUUUUAUGUAUUUUUUCCAUUGGAGUUAAAGUUAAAAAUUUAUAAUAUAAUAAAUAAAUAUAUAUAAUAAUAAAUAGAUUGUAAAAUGAAAGGUAUCGUAUUCGCAAAUGUGACUGUUACCGAAUGUGAAUUUUACUACCAUAA